CAUCAUUUAAUUCAUCAAACAUCACAUAAAAAUGGGUUAACGCUGUUGAUACAAAGAUAUUAGAAUGAAACCCAGAUUUCAGAAUGUGGGAAUUUAGCUCUGGGCCAUGUGAUCAGUAUUGGUACAAGCACAGGUGAAACGUACUAGAGUAUAGGCAUUAGGAUCGGAACCGGAUUUGUAUACCAGAGAAGCUUUUGUUAAGGCGGCUGCUGAAU
rnacentral:lncRNA from 1 species